rnacentral:rRNA from 1 species
UACGUAGGGGGCAAGCGUUGUCCGGAUUUAUUGGGCGUAAAGAGCGUGUAGGCGGUUAGGUAGGUCCGUUGUGAAAACUCGAGGCUCAACCUCGAGACGCCGAUGGAAACCAUCUAACUAGAGUCCGGAAGAGGAGAGUGGAAUUCCUGGUGUAGCGGUGAAAUGCGCAGAUAUCGCUUGGAACGCCAACGGUGAAAACAGGUUGCUGGGGGUGUGCUGACGCUGAGACACGAAAGCCAGGGGAGCGAACGGG